UGGGGAAUAUUGCACAAUGGGCGCAAGCCUGAUGCAGCCAUGCCGCGUGUAUGAAGAAGGCCUUCGGGUUGUAAAGUACUUUCAGCGGGGAGGAAGGCGAUAAGGUUAAUAACCUUGUCGAUUGACGUUACCCCGCAGAAGAAGCACCGGCUAACUCCGUGCCAGCAGCCGCGGUAAUACGGAGGGUGCAAGCGUUAAUCGAUUAAUCUGGGCGUAAAGCGCACGCAGGCGGUCUGUCAAGUCGGAUGUGAAAUCCCCGGGCUCAACCUGGGAACUGCAUUCGAAACUGGCAGGCUGGAGUCUUGUAGAGGGGGGUAGAAUUCCCAGGUGUAGCGGUGAAAUGCGUAGAGAUCUGGAGGAAUACCGGUGGCGAAGGCGGCCCCCUGGACAAAGACUGACGCUCAGGUGCGAAAGCGUGGGGAGCAAACA
rnacentral:rRNA from 1 species